UACGUAGGGCGCAAGCGUUAUCCGGAAUUAUUGGGCGUAAAGAGCUCGUAGGCGGUUUGUCGCGUCUGCUGUGAAAACUCAGGGCUUAACCCUGAGCUUGCAGUGGGUACGGGCAGACUAGAGUGCGGUAGGGGAGACUGGAAUUCCUGGUGUAGCGGUGAAAUGCGCAGAUAUCAGGAGGAACACCGGUGGCGAAGGCGGGUCUCUGGGCCGUAACUGACGCUGGAGGAGCGGAAAGCAUGGGGAGCGAACAG
rnacentral:rRNA from 1 species